UGCUUGCACUCAGCGGUCAAAGUGCGAGUGGCGAACGGGUGAGUAACACGUGGGCAAUCUGCCCAAAAGUGGGGGAUAACACUUGGAAACAGGUGCUAAUACCGCAUCAACCGGCUGACCGCAUGGUCGGCCGGGCAAAGACGGCGUCAGCUGUCGCUUUUGGAUGAGCCCGCGGCGUAUUAACUAGUUGGUAAGGUAACGGCUUACCAAGGUGAUGAUACGUAGCCGAACUGAGAGGUUGAUCGGCCACAUUGGGACUGAGACACGGCCCAAACUCCUACGGGAGGCAGCAGUAGGGAAUCUUCCACAAUGGACGCAAGUCUGAUGGAGCAACGCCGCGUGUAUGAAGAAGGUCUUCGGAUCGUAAAAUACUGUUGUCAGAGAAGAACACGUGAUAGAGUAACUGCUAUGACGCUGACGGUAUCUGACCAGCAAGUCACGGCUAACUACGUGCCAGCAGCCGCGGUAAUACGUAGGUGGCAAGCGUUGUCCGGAUUUAUUGGGCGUAAAGGGAACGCAGGCGGUCUUUUAAGUCUGAUGUGAAAGCCUUCGGCUUAACCGGAGAAGUGCAUUGGAAACUGGAAGACUUGAGUGCAGAAGAGGAGAGUGGAACUCCAUGUGUAGCGGUGAAAUGCGUAGAUAUAUGGAAGAACACCAGUGGCGAAAGCGGCUCUCUGGUCUGUAACUGACGCUGAGG
rnacentral:rRNA from 2 species